UACGUAGGGGGCAAGCGUUGUCCGGAAUCAUUGGGCGUAAAGAGCGUGUAGGCGGCUCGAUAAGUCUGCUGUGAAAGUCCAGGGCUCAACCCUGGAAGGCCGGUGGAAACUGUCGGGCUAGAGUCCGGAAGAGGCGAGUGGAAUUCCUGGUGUAGCGGUGAAAUGCGCAGAUAUCAGGAGGAACACCAAUUGCGAAGGCAGCUCGCUGGGACGUUACUGACGCUGAGACGCGAAAGCGUGGGGAGCAAACAGG
rnacentral:rRNA from 1 species